rnacentral:rRNA from 1 species
GUACUGGCUUUACUGAUUCCUCCUUCUUGACGAACCGUGAUGUCAUUAAUUUGGUGUUGCGGGAAAUCAGGACUGUUACUUUGAAAAAAUUAGAGUGUUUAAAGCAGGCUAACGCUUGAAUACAUUAGCAUGGAAUAAUGAAAUAGGACGUUAAUCCUAUUUUGUUGGUUUCUAGGAUCGACGUAAUGAUUAAUAGGGAUAGUUGGGGGCAUUAGUAUUCAAUUGUCAGAGGUGAAAUUCUUGGAUUUAUUGAAGACUAACUACCGCGAAAGCAUUUGCCAAGGAUGUUUUCAUUAAUCAAGAACGAAAGUUAGGGGAUCGAAGACGAUCAGAUACCGUCGUAGUCUUAACCAUAAACUAUGCCGACUAGGGAUCGGAUGAUGUUAUUUUUAAUGACUCAUUCGGCGCCUUACG